rnacentral:pre_miRNA from 1 species
UAUUCAGAUUGGUGCCGGUCACAUGAAGUACAUAUGACUGGCACCAUACUGGAUAAU